CCUACGGGAGGCAGCAGUGAGGAAUAUUGGUCAAUGGCCGCGAGGCUGAACCAGCCAAGUCGCGUGAAGGAUGACUGCCCUAAGGGUUGUAAACUUCUUUUGUCAAGGAAUAAAGUGAGGCACGAGUGCCUGUUUGAGUGUACUUGAAGAAAAAGCAUCGGCUAACUCCGUGCCAGCAGCCGCGGUACUACGGAGGAUGCGAGCGUUAUCCGGAUUUAUUGGGUUUAAAGGGAGCGUAGAUGGGUUGUUAAGUCAGGUGUUAAAGUGUGGGGCUCAACCGUAAAAUUGCAAUUGAUACUGGCAGCCUUGAGUUCAGUUGAGGUAGGCGGAAUGCGUGGUGUAGCGGUAAAAUGCUUAGAUAUCACGAAGAACUCCGAUUGCGAAGGCAGCCUACUAAACUGCCACUGACAUUGAUGCUCGAAAGUGUGGGUAUCAAACAGGAUUAGAUACCCUAGUAGUC
rnacentral:rRNA from 1 species